rnacentral:lncRNA from 1 species
GAGUUCGGGGUCGGGGCGCGGGAAGGCGGGAGGUGCCCGGCAACCCUAGGAGCCCGGCGCGGGGCACGAUGGGACGCCCCCGGGAAGAGGCGGAGCUGGGUUCGAGCGCUGGGGCUGCGGUUGGGAAACUACUGGAGGAUGUGGUGCACCAGAAUAAGAGAAUAAACCAAGAAACAGGAAGACGUGAUCCAGGCAACAGGAUAUUCCAGUAUAGUGUUGGAAACAGAAGCCCAGUAGUGAAAGCUACAGCUGCCAUAUACUUGCAGUGGAAUCACAGGAGCAAUCACAGGUCUUUAAUUUAAUUCUGGAGUGUGAGCAGGAACCAGUUAACUACAUUCAUUGUCCAACCCCCACUGGUUUGAAAGAAGACUCCAAAUUCUUGGCAUAUGAAUCAGCUGUUCGGUAGCUCCACCUUAUCCCUGCAGCGAAGCAGCAGAACCGCCAAUGGCGGCACCUCAGGAUUCACACUGUGGGUGGUGAGGCCUUCCGCUGA